rnacentral:rRNA from 1 species
UACGGGGGGGAGCAAGCGUUGUUCGGAUUUACUGGGCGUAAAGGGCGCGUAGGCGGUCAGCACAAGUCAGUUGUGAAAUCUCCGGGCUUAACUCGGAAAGGUCAACUGAUACUGUGCGACUAGAGUGCAGAAGGGGCAACUGGAAUUCUCGGUGUAGCGGUGAAAUGCGUAGAUAUCGAGAGGAACACCUGCGGCGAAGGCGGGUUGCUGGCUGACACUGACGCUGAUGCGCGAAAGCCAGGGGAGCGAACGGG